UACGUAGGGUGCAAGCGUUGUCCGGAAUUAUUGGGCGUAAAGGGCGCGUAGGCGGCCUGGCAAGUGGAAGGUGAAAUCCCUCGGCUUAACCGAGGAACUGCCUCCCAAACUGCUUGGCUUGAGACCGGGAGAGGUGAGUGGAAUUCCCAGUGUAGCGGUGAAAUGCGUAGAUAUUGGGAGGAACACCAGUGGCGAAAGCGGCUUCCUGGACCAGUACCGACGUUCAGGCACGAAAGCGUGGGGAGCAAACAGG
rnacentral:rRNA from 1 species